UACGGAGGGUGCAAGCGUUAUCCGGAUUCACUGGGUUUAAAGGGUGCGUAGGAGGGCAGGUAAGUCAGUGGUGAAAUCUCCAAGCUUAACUUGGAACUGCCGUUGAUACUAUCUGUCUUGAAUAUUUGUGGAGGUGAGCGGAAUAUGUCAUGUAGCGGUGAAAUGACUUAGAUAUGACAUAGAACACCAAUUGCGACAGGCAGCUUACUACACAGUAAUUGACACCGAGGCACGAAAGCGUGGGGAUCAAACAGGG
rnacentral:rRNA from 1 species